rnacentral:misc_RNA from 1 species
UCCGGCUUAUCACCGGCAGUUUCGCUAAAGUGCCCAGCCAAACCUGAUGGCAACUAGCAAUAAGGGUUGCGCUCGUUGCGGGACUUAACCCAACAUCUCACGACACGAGCUGACGACAGCCAUGCAGCACCUGUGUGGAAGCCAGCCGAACUGAAGAAAACCAUCUCUGGUCCUCAUACUUCCCAUGUCAAAAGCUGGUAAGGUUCUGCGCGUUGCUUCGAAUUAAACCACAUACUCCACCGCUUGUGCGGGUCCCCGUCAAUUCCUUUGAGUUUUAAUCUUGCGACCGUACUCCCCAGGCGGAAUGCUUAUUGCGUUAGCGGCGACACUGAGGAUGUUAAUCCCCAACAUCUAGCAUUCAUCGUUUACAGCGUGGACUAC